UACGUAGGCCGCAAGCGUUGUUCGGAGUUACUGGGCGUAAAGGGUGUGUAGGCGGUUGUUUAAGUUUGGUGUGAAAUCUCCCGGCUCAACUGGGAGGGUGCGCCGAAUACUGAAUGACUAGAGUGCGGGAGAGGAAAGUGGAAUUCCUGGUGUAGCGGUGAAAUGCGUAGAUAUCAGGAGGAACACCGGGGGUGUAGACGGCUUUCUGGACCGUAACUGACGCUGAGACACGAAAGCGUGGGUAGCAAACAGG
rnacentral:rRNA from 1 species